rnacentral:misc_RNA from 1 species
AACAAGGCGUACCUGCGGACCUGCGGAGGGAUCAUUACCGAGUUUACAACUCCCAAACCCCUGUGAACAUACCACUUGUUGCCUCGGCGGAUCAGCCCGCUCCCGGUAAAACGGGACGGCCCGCCAGAGGACCCCUAAACUCUGUUUCUAUAUGUAACUUCUGAGUAAAACCAUAAAUAAAUCAAAACUUUCAACAACGGAUCU